UCAGCAAAAAAAACCUUAAAACCUAUCGAUGCUUUGUUUUUAUAUCCGUAUAUUGGAGUACAAAAAAUGUACCCCAAUUACAAUAAAAAAUCUAUAAAUAUUUAGAUGACACAAUAAAAACGCCACCAUUAAAAUGAUGACAUUCUCAUCAGAAAAUCAUAAUUUGGAAUAUGAGAAGCAAACUUGCUCCACCCCAAAAAAUAUAAUUUAUAUAUGCACAGCCUUCUCGUCUCGUAAAAGUCAACACAACAAUCUUAUUGGCAAUGGAAACUCACUCAACCAAAAACGGAUUAAGUGGAGAUGGCGAAAAAAAAGCAGCUAAAAUCGCCGGCAAAGAGGCACAAAAACUCGACCAGGCCAACGAUGGAUGGUGGCGAAUUAUUAUGCAGCAGCAAUUACUCGCCAAUUGUCGUCGCAAUGAGAUAGUAUAGAGAAUGGGAACAAAAGAGGAAAAAGCUGUUCGAAAUGGCGAUAAUCCGGUCGUCGGGAACGAUGGACAUCGAAUCGGAUCGCAAUGAUCAAACGCCUCUGGAACUUGGGAUCUUGGCCAGCUCAACGCUUUUGGCCCGGCCGGCUAUGACCAAAUGCAGAGGAUCAGCAGUUGCCAGUCGCCCCCUGUGAUUAUUUUUAUUAUAAUUGCGCGUUUAUUGGCGUGAGGAUAUGUGUUGCCACUCGAAUCCGUGGGGACACUACGCUACACAAUCGCACCGCCUCGACUUGGUACACAAACGGCAAACGGCAAAUCGGCUUUGAUUUGUGUGGCAAACUUGGCGCUUGUUAUACAGCAUUUUUGCGUCUCUUAAAUGCUGCAUUUUCCUCUGCAUUUGUUGCUCUUUAGUUUAAAUGGCUUAUAUGACUUAUAUAUGGGUUUGUAAAGAAGUCUAUAAAGAUGACAUUGUGUCUUGGCUCUUGAGUCUUGUAGAACAUCAUUGCAUUAAGCUUUCUUCAGGAAUUUUAGGUUU
ensembl:ncRNA lncRNA:CR44596 long non-coding RNA:CR44596